GGGCGGUUAGCUCAGUGGUAGAGCACUGCCUUCACACGGCAGGGGUCACAAGUUCGAACCUUGUACCGCCCA
rnacentral:tRNA from 1 species